UGAGUUUGAUCAUGGCUCAGAUUGAACGCUGGCGGCAGGCCUAACACAUGCAAGUCGAGCGCGAAAUUUCCUUCGGGAAUGAGUAGAGCGGCGGACGGGUGAGUAACGCGUAGGAAUCUACCCAGUAGUGGGGGACAACUCGGGGAANNNCGAGCUAAUACCGCAUACGCCCUAUGGGGGAAAGCAGGGGAUCUUCGGACCUUGCGCUAUUGGAUGAGCCUGCGUCGGAUUAGCUAGAUGGUGGGGUAAUGGCCUACCAUGGCGACGAUCCGUAGCUGGUCUGAGAGGAUGAUCAGUCACACUGGAACUGAGACACGGUCCAGACUCCUACGGGAGGCAGCAGUGGGGAAUAUUGGACAAUGGGGGAAACCCUGAUCCAGCCAUGCCGCGUGUGUGAAGAAGGCUCUAGGGUUGUAAAGCACUUUCAGUAGGGAGGAAAAACUAUUGCCUAAUACGUAAUAGCCCUGACGUUACCUACAGAAGAAGCACCGGCAAACUCCGUGCCAGCAGCCGCGGUAAUACGGAGGGUGCGAGCGUUAAUCGGAAUUACUGGGCGUAAAGCGCGCGUAGGCGGUUUGAUAAGCUGGAUGUGAAAGCCCCGGGCUC
rnacentral:rRNA from 1 species